GGGGGCCCCUGGACCUGAUGAGAGAUGAAUGGGAGGGGAAGGCCACUCCCGAGGGAGAGUCAGUGGUGGAGUAUGUCCUGACCUUCCGGGAAAGACUGGCCGAGCUCAUGGGCCUGGCCAGGGAGAAUCUGGCCCGAGCCCAGAGGAAGCAGAAGGUCUGGUAUGACCGCACGGCCCGGGCCCGUGCCUUUGCCACCGGGGAUCAGGUGAUGGUUCUCAUCCCUGUGAGGAAAAACAAACUCCAGGCCGCCUGGGAAGGGCCCUUCAAGGUUAUCAAGCAACUGAAUGAGGUAAACUAUGUGGUGGAGCUGUCAAACCGGGCACAUCACCGGCGGGUGUACCAUGUGAACAUGAUGAAACCAUACUAUGACAGGGGGAAUGUGGUGUUGGCCGUGUGUGGACACUGGGAGGGGCAGGGAGAUGACCCUUUGGUGGAUCUAUUCCCUGGGACAAAAGCUGGUUCCCCCCUGGAGGCAAUUCCCCUCUCUGAUCAGCUGACCAGGGCCCAGCACGCUGAGAUCAGAGGGGUGCUGCAUCUGUACCGACAGCUGUUUUCCAACCAGCCUGGACGCACUAAUUUGACUGUCCACAGGGUGGAGACCGGGUCACAUCCCCCUAUAAGAUGCUCCCCUUUUCGGGUCACUGGUAAAACUGCCCAGGAUCUGGAAAGGGAGGUCAGGGACAUGCUGGCUUUGGGGGUGAUCCAGCAGUCUUCCAGCCCUUGGGCCUCGCCAGUGGUGCUGGUCCCCAAGAAGGAUGGGUCAAUUCGGUUCUGUGUGGACUAUCGAAAGCUCAAUGCCAUCACCGUAUCUGAUGCCUACCCCAUGCCCAGGCCUGACGAGCUCCUAGACAAGCUGGGAGGUGCUCGGUACCUCACCACCAUGGAUCUUACCAAGGGCUACUGGCAAGUGCCGCUGGACGCAGAUGCCAGGCUGAAAUCGGCCUUUAUCACCCCUCUGGGGCUCUACGAGUUUCUGACCCUGCCCUUUGGCCUCAAGGGAGCGCCGGCCACCUUCCAGCGCCUGGUGGAUCAGCUACUGAGGGGGAUGGAGAGUUUUGCCGUGGCCUAUAUUGACGACAUCUGCGUCUUCAGCCAGACCUGGGAGGACCAUGUGUCCCAGGUUA
ensembl:lncRNA